GNGGGCNGCUAUACAUGCAAGUCGAACGAAGACUGUAGUAAUACUGUCUUAGUGGCGAACGGGUGAGUAACGCGUGGGUGACCUGCCCCGAAGUGUGGGAUAACAGUCCGAAAGGAUUGCUAAUACUGCAUAAUAUCCAAGAGAUUAGAUGCUUUUGGAUUAAAGGAGUAAUUCGCUUCGGGAGGGGCCCGCGUCCCAUCAGCUAGUUGGUAAGGUAAUGGCUUACCAAGGCGAUGACGGGUAGGGGACCUGAGAGGGUGGCCCCCCACAAUGGAACUGAAACACGGUCCAUACACCUACGGGUGGCAGCAGUAGGGAAUAUUAGUAAUGGGCGAAAGCCUGAACUAGCAACGCCGCGUGUGCGAAGAAGGCCUUCGGGUCGUAAAGCACUUUUUGAGAGGAUGAGGAAGGACGGUACUCUCAGAAUAAGUCUCGGCUAACUACGUGCCAGCAGCCGCGGUAACACGUAGGAGGCAAACGUUAUCCGGAUUUACUGGGCGUAAAGCGCGUGUAGGUGGUUUGGUAAGUAGGGCGUGAAAGCUCCUGGCUCAACUGGGAGAGGACGUUCUAAACUGCCAAGCUUGAGGAUGGUAGAGGGAGGUGGAAUUCCGGGUGUAGCGGUGGAAUGCGCAGAUAUCCGGAGGAACACCAGUGGCGAAGGCGGCCUCCUGGACCACUCCUGACACUCAGACGCGAAAGCUAGGGUAGCANACGGGAUUAGAGACCCCGGUAGUCCUAGCCCUAAACGAUGUAGACUUGGCGUCGGUGGUUUAAUCGCCAUCGGUGUCGUAGCUAACGCGAUAAGUCUACCGCCUGGGGACUACGGCCCGCAAGGUUAAAACUCAUAGGAAUUGACGGGUCCCCGCACAAGCAGCGGAGCGUGUGGUUUAAUUCGAUGCUAACACGAAGAACCUUACCUGGGUUUGACAUAGAGGUAGUAGGGAAGCGAAAGC
rnacentral:rRNA from 1 species